rnacentral:rRNA from 1 species
CCUACGGGAGGCUGCAGUAGGGAAUAUUGCACCAUGGGCGAAAGCCUGAUGCAGCAACGCCGCGUGAGUGAAGAAGGCCUUCGGGUCGUAAAACUCUUUUCAAGAGGAAGAGGAAGGACGGUACUCUUGGAAUAAGCCUCGGCUAACUACGUGCCAGCAGCCGCGGUAACACGUAGGAGGCGAGCGUUAUUCGGAUUUACUGGGCGUAAAGCGCGUGUAGGCGGCGCAGAAAGUUGGAUGUGAAAGCUCCUGGCUUAACUGGGAGAGGUCGUUCAAAACUUCUGUGCUUGAGUAUGGUAGAGGAAAAUGGAAUUCCGGGUGUAGUGGUGAAAUGCGUAGAUAUCCGGAGGAACACCAGUGGCGAAAGCGAUUUUCUGGACCAAGACUGACGCUCAGACGCGAAAGCUAGGGUAGCAAACGGGAUUAGAUACCCGUGUAGUC